rnacentral:rRNA from 1 species
GGGGAAUCUUCCGCAAUGGACGAAAGUCUGACGGAGCAACGCCGCGUGAGUGAAGAAGGUCUUCGGAUUGUAAAGCUCUGUCGUUUGGGACGAACGUGGAUUGUGUGAAUAAUGCAAUCUAAUGACGGUACCAAAGGAGGAAGCCACGGCUAACUACGUGCCAGCAGCCGCGGUAAUACGUAGGUGGCAAGCGUUGUCCGGAAUUAUUGGGCGUAAAGGGCGUGUAGGUGGAUUCUUAAGUCGUGUGUCUAAGUGCGGUGCUCAACACCGUAUGGGCGCAGGAAACUGGGAAUCUUGAGUGCAGGAGAGGAAAGUGGAAUUCCCAGUGUAGCGGUGAAAUGCGUAGAUAUUGGGAGGAACACCAGUGGCGAAGGCGACUUUCUGGACUGUGUCUGACACUGAGGCGCGAAAGCCAGGGGAGCGAACG